rnacentral:misc_RNA from 1 species
AUGUAGAAUUCGAAGAGAGCUUGGAGUCACAUAUUUGGCUAGAAAACGGCACAGAAUUACUGCUCUGCCGACCAGUCUCAAAUUCUCCAAUCAUCACUAGCUCAGCUCGAUGCCACCCAAGUUAUCGAUGUUCGUUUGGAAAUUCGAAAAGACCAGAUAAAGCUGAUAUUGGAAACUGAAACACCUCUGGAGUCUGGAACAAUUGAAGUAAGAAAUGUAUGGAUUACCUACAGACCAACCGACGAUGGAUGCUUGAUUGAGAAUAAUGACCAGCAAGAGUUCAUAGACCGCUUGGAAUUUUUCGAAGUUUCCGUUUUGCACUUGGAGCAUGCCCUUGGUACUAUGGAUGUGCUCAAAAAAUUCUCAGUGAUUUCGGUUAAUAAAUCUCAAGAUGAACCAACCCCCAGCGCUCAGGAUCUACUCACAAAUGCCAUAUUCUUAGAGAACCUGAACAGAAUGCUGACAUCCCGGCAGAAACCACUGAACGUCUUCACUUUUGAAGUAAACUUAUGGCAAGAACCAUUCAAUAAUCACGCUGCAAUUAUAAUGUCUCAUCUCAACUCCAACUUCCUUAAUUUAAUAAUUCUGAGCACCCCUAUCCCGGGGACUCAUUUGAAAUUUGACGCUAUUGUUACCUUGGAGCAGUGGCUCAAUGGAAAGGAGGUUAAAAUGAAGAACCUAUCGACUGACUUAAAAUUUGAUGCCUUUUUUCAUUUUGCCAAAGUGAGCACAGGAAUGGACCCAAAUACUUAUAGCGAGCUGACUUUGCUGAGAGACUCCCAUAAUCACCCGAUCAGUCAUCCUAUCAAAAACGGCUAUCAAAACUGAAAUAGAGAACGCGGAAGAUCAUGCCUUUGCCCUGAUGAUCCAUGAAAGCCAAAUCAUGAUUGAUAUGAUUUUAGCAGCGGUGCCAAAUUAUAUUCAAAGAGCUCUGACCACGCAAACAUUAGAUGAGACUAAAAAUAUAAGAAUAUCAUACAAGCCAAGAGGAGAUUGGUGUAUUAUUGAAAGCGAAAGAAUGCAAGAAGUUUCACAGUCACCCGUUUGCAAAGUCUCAGUAUUACACCUUGAAUACCUGUUGAGAUCUAUACCAGUUCUUUGGAGCUUCUCGAUUGCCUCUAUCACAAAUCUGGAGCUCGAUGGAUCCAAUGAGAUCCUACUUCAAAUCCACAAAACCUUGCAAGACACCGUUGAAGCAAUGCUCAGAGAAAGAAGCUCUAAACUUAAAGUUAAUACGUUUGUAGUCACACUGUCUGAAAAACCAAUCAAUGAGCAUCUGCCAAGAAUCAUGGCUUGUCUGGAGCCUCAAGUUCUUAAGGAAAUCAUUUUGACGGGCGAUAAAGGUAAACUUCAUUGUGAUGGCUUAGUGAAUUUGGAGCAGUGGAAGAAUGCAUCUUUAUUGUCCAUCAACAAUUUCUAUGUGAAAGCUGCAAUUUCGAAUUUCCUCCAUUUUGAAGACGUUCGAGUAACUUUUGCAAAAAUAACUUACGAUGAUUUGAUUAUGUUAAAGGAGGCAAAUUUGUCAGAAAUAAAAUUAGGAAACAAAAUAAUAAAGUCUUUCAGCACUUCCUCGUCAACGAAAAGCCUUCUACAUUCGAGCUCAACUUCAACCGAUAUGCGAAAACCUCUGAAAUUUCAAAUGACACCAACAACGUUGAGCCACACGAGGUGUUCGGGGAAACUGAGCAUGUUGAAUACAAGAACGGCGGAGAGCUUCACAGAAAGAUUUGGUAUUUCCCACAUGAGGUUCAUACUUCAUAUGAUCUUCGGAUCGAAUAUUGUAUUACAAAUGAUUAUACGUUUCAAUUUGGAUUUGUGGAAGCAGAGGUAAAACCACAAAUCGUAAACUCUGACUUCAACUUGCUAUCUCUCAUAUCGACUAAUUACCAGGCUAUGAAAAGUAUCAUAGAAAAGUGCUCCUUUGUCACAAUCUUGACGCUUCGAAAAGUUUGUAAAAACCUCCGUAAUUUCAUCGACACCACACAUUUCAACUUCCCCGAACGGAAUGUUUGGAUAACAUUUGAUGGAAAAGAUUCAAUGCUUGAAGUAAUAACCCCCGAGGGGAAAACAUCCCUUACCUAUAAAAAAGAUCCGAUCGGCUGCAAACUUCUUGCAUAUCCGCCGAUACCUUACGGUUCUGAUUUCAUUGCAACUCGGAUGAUGCCAGACGAUACACCGUUAAACUGUUGUAUGAAUGACUUGGAACAAAUUCUGAAGCACCAAAAAACUCCCAUAAGCAAACUCGCUUUUACCCUGCGUUCCAUAGAUGAUGAGUACAUUUAUAAGCUAAAGGAAACUCUGGUGCCUCAAAGAACUCGUCUACUAAAGGUCAAGUGUGUUGCCAUGCUGGGAGUUGAUCUACCGAUAAUAGCAAGGAUUCUGUCAUAUUUGGAUCAAAAUGACCUAAAAAUGAUUUUCUUGAACUAUGAUGCAUAUAGUAAGGUUGAAGAAGAGGAGCUUGACUCUACUAAAAUUGUGGAGUUGGGGCAAUGGAAAAGGGCAGAAGAGCUUUGGGCCCGUGACUGUGGACUUUCAUUUUCAGUUAAAAAUAUCGAGCACUUUCUGAGAGUUGAAGUAACGUUACGCACAAUUUCCGUUGAAGACUUGGUUCAUUUAAAGGAGAUCUUCAAAACCUCAUCCGCCAAUCGAAAAUUUGACAUUAAAGCCAGAUCAUUCGAUGCAGAAGAUUUGACCCCAACUCUAGGAGCACCGUCUCUUUCAAACAAGAUCGAACAAAAUGUUGUUCAUAAAAAGUGGUUCUUCAAAAUGGAAAUGGACAGACGGAGAGCAGUUUGCAUAGAUUAUCUGGAGUGUAUCGCUGGAGAAAGGGAGAUAACGGUAUUUGUGUUUUCCCAUGUCGAGAUUUCUGAUGUUCCAGCAAAUGUGCUACGUUGGGAACAAUAAAAAU